UUGCAAUGAUGAAGGUUCCAAAACCAUUCGUAGUUUCCACUAGAGGUUGAAAGACCAGUGUUGGCUUAAGUACCUUCCUUGGAUGUCUGAGCGA